AAAACUUAGUAAUAUUGAGGGAAUUGGAUCCUCCAGCAGAGUCCAUUAAUAUACAAAAGAUACUCAAAAUUUCAUUCAUAUUGUAAUCGGAUGCAAUGUGUCUGGGUGCUAUCUUGGGAUACAUAUGUUUUAAUUAUCAUAAAAGGCCUAAACGGGAUUUCUUAGACAUGUGAAUUUUGUGAUACUUCAAGCACAAUUAUUUUGUCAGACUCUGAUCGAGCCCAAAUUGAAUUAUGAACCAGUUUUAUGCAGAUUAAUGUGUUGAAUUGAAACAAUGAAGUUCUAUCAAGCUUCAGUUUAAUUUUGUGAUCUCUACUGGAUAACAACUUAUUUUUAUUCAUUGUUUUUCUGUUGACUUGGGUGUUUCAGGAGCUAUAAAUCUACGAAUGUGCUGCUCCGGCAAAGUUUAUAGGGAUAUGGAUUGUCUACCUUUGUUUGAGAGAAUUCGGAAAAAUGUGAAGAAAUUUGGAAGGAAAAGAUGAUAGAUAUGAGGAAACGUAUGUGUUUUUCCCUCUCUAAGAAUUAACAACUAACAAGUGUUCUUUUUUCAAUGAUUAUAUAGCCACGGAAAUUAUAUGAAACAAAAGAGGCAUACAAAUGAUGUGUCGACAUGCUUUCUUUGCAUACUAGGGAGAUUCUAAUCAAUGAGAGGAAUUCCAUGUUCCCUGCAUUUCUCCUAGAGGAAUGUUGAGGGGCUGGUUUCGACAACCAAACUGGUGUGCUACACCAGGAUUGAGUAAGACAGUGCGUGAGUCAGUACACCAAGAAGAGUCCAAGUUCUCCACACUCUUGUACAAAUUACCAACACAUCCAGCAAAAUUAUUAGCCCCUAAAAGAUUUACAACUGACCCUAAUGGCACCGCAAGGAAGCUAAAAAUGAAGUCAACAAAAUCUCCAUUAGUUUCUGCAAAGACUAUAUUUUUUUUAGAUUUACUUUGAAUUACUUUAACAUCAAUUUUCUUGGUGUCACUGGUGCAAGGCGUUACUUUAACUGUCGAUGCGAAUUGGUUAGGUGGGAUUUCCUUGUUCUUUGAGCUACUUCCCAAAAUCGUAUUUGUGAGAGGCUCAUGAGAGGUUAAGGUAUACUUGAGGAGGUUCAAUAUCUAUACAAAAUGUUAAAACAUAAAUGGCAAGCAUAACAAUUAAAUAAACUGAUACGAACUCGAAUUUAGAAAGAAGAAAUUAUAAAAUUGAUUGGAAAUAGAUGUAUUUCAGAAGUAAAUACACGGUAACACCAUUACCUCCUGUUUGCCAAUGUUGUGUGUGACUUCCUCUAUUUGAGUCAAGUCUGAAUAACCCAAUUCCAUCAAUAGCUGCAUGGAAGUCACAGAGGAACUUGGCACAAUCUUUAAAUCAUCGGACACCAGAAACAAUGAUCCAUUUUCUUUUACAAAGACCCCAUUUUGUGCAUUAUUCCCUUGACCCUCAGAAUCCAAAUUCUUAUGAAGGUUUUGAAAAGUAGUAAACGUGUUACAAGAAUCUCACACACAAAAAACUUACUUGAUGGCUCACUGUUAUCAACAUUCAAGAACAGGUUCAUGCAAAGAGAUUCACAUGGAUUCCUGGGAUUCAGCAACAUGUGUCUGCAGAAAGGGUUGUUCCAAACAUCGUUCGAGAUGUUUUGGACUGUUUUGUAUAGGUUUUUUAUAUUGCCAAGGAAUGAUGAUGAUUGUGAUCGUCGUUGUUGUUGAUCAUUGUUGUUGUCGUUGUUGUUUGAUAAAAGGCGAACGAUGGUGCCAAGUGGAAGAGAUAGGAAGCUGAAGAUAGUGUCAACAAAGUCCUUUGUUGCUUCCACAAAAACAACUUUGUUUCUUUGUUUGUCCACUAAGAUUUUCAGGGGAAUUGUUCUUGUAUCUUCUUGUGGUUGUUCAGAAGCCAUGGCAACACGUUAUUGUAUAACUCAAAAGUCAUUGGAUUAACCUGUGAUUUAUGUAUAUUUGAUUUUUACUAUCAGAAGUCCAAAUAUCAACCGUUUCAUUUUUUGGUGAAUUUCUCAAUUUUCAAAAUUGCUACUACACUUCCCUA